AUGUCGUGGCUCAUGUGGUCGUACAUGUCGGGCGGGGGGCGCUGCUCGUACGCGUCUUUCAUGCCGCGUUUCAUCGCCACGAGGUACGGCGUGGCCGGGAACAUGAGGGACACGCCAUUGAUAGUCCACUUGAUGUGGCCAUCGAUCCGGUUCUGGGUGUUGAGGAGGAGCAGCGUGCGGUCGGCCCUCGCCGGCAUGGGCUCUACGAAGCGUGGGUGCGCGAAGAUGGCCCUGCUCUGCUCCACCCUGAUAGCCGUGUUGUUCCAUGCCGGGCCAGCCGGUGGCGCCGUGGGCGGAGGCAUCCACGGGUUGUUGCCGUUGAAGGCGUAG
rnacentral:rRNA from 1 species